CCUACGGGUGGCAGCAGUGGGGGAUAUUGCACAAUGGGGGGAACCCUGAUGCAGCGACGCCGCGUGGGUGAAGAAGCGCCUCGGCGCGUAAAGCCCUGUCAGCAGGGAAGAAAAUGACGGUACCUGAAGACGAAUCCCCGUCUAACUACGGCCAAGCAGCCGCGGUGAUACGUAGGGGGCAAGCGUCAUCCGGAUUUAUGGGGGGAAAAGGGGGGGUAGGCGGGGAGGAAGGUUGUGGGUCAACACUACCGGGUCAACUGGGAGUCGCACUCAAAACUGCAGCUCUUGAGUGAAGGAGAGGCAGGCGGAAUUCCUGGUGUAGCGGUGAAAUGCGUAGAUAUUAGGAGGAACACCAGUGGCGAAGGCGGCCUGCUGGGCUUUUACUGACGCUGAGGCUCGAAAGUGUGGGGAGCAAACAGGAUUAGAUACCCUUGUAGUC
rnacentral:rRNA from 1 species